UUUUGUCAACUUCAUUGCCUUAUGGAGGUCCUCUAACAGUGUACCUGGGGCCAAUCGUUCGGCACCUUCUCCACCCGAGCUGGCCAAAGGAGCUUAUCCACAGGGGAGGGAGCGUGAAUUGAGAGCUGUCAGUGGUUGCUGCCUCUGCCGAUGGUGACGAUGGAGGAAGUCCUCCUUGCUUCUCGAUGUUCUCCUCUCUCCUGCAGCAGCCCUUAUGCACACAAGCGCUUGUCAAAGUUUCAGACCAUUCCAUCCCACCCUCCCCGAACCUCUUACCCUUCCUCUCUUGUCAAAUUCUCUUCUUAUUCUUCGUCUUCUUCCUCUCUAUUGACUACCCUUCUAUCCCUCAGACCCAAUAUUAGCUCUGUGAUCAGCAAUUCUGUCCAGUUGAAACGUUCAUUUGCUCGCGACGUUAACCUCCUUUGCCCCACAAUCUUAUCCUCCUCCUUCUCUCCUUCUUGUUCCUCCAAUGUCACCGCUGCCCGUUUGAGGACGUCCACCGUCUCCGGAGGUACGCUCCACCACCUUGUAGCCGGCCUCUCUAGCGUACUGCUUCUGGUGUUUGCGACCCCACCAUUGUGUUCUUCCGCACUCGCUGCCGAUGCCGCAGCUAUCAACGAGUCGUCUUCGAAGAUCUCCCUCGAGAGCGCGCUCGUCUCCAUCGAUGACUUCUUCAACCGCUAUCCGUACUUCGUUGCCAGCGUGACGUUCAUAUGGUUGGUUGUCAUCCCGCUGACUCAAGAGUACUUGAGGAAGUUCAAAUACGUCUCCGCCAUCGACGGUUUCCGGAAGCUCCGGGACGACCCGAGUUCGCACUUGCUUGAUAUCAGAAAGAGGAAGAGCGUGGAAGCGGUGGGGUCUAUCGACCUGAAAUCAUUGAAGAAGACGACUGCUCUGGUGGAGUACUCGGAGGCAGACGAAGCAGGGUUCGUCAAGAAGGUCCUGCAAGAGUUUGGGGACCCUUCAAAUACCACAUUAUAUAUCACCGAUAGCUUGGACGGCAAUUCCUUAAGAGUGGCUCAGCUUUUGCACGAGAAAGGUGGCUUUAAAGCAGCAUAUGCAAUUAAGGGUGGAAUUCAAGGCAAGGAAGGGUGGCAGGAAAUACAAGGAACACUGCUUCCACCAUCUGUUCAUGUUUCUCCUAGAAAACGUAAGGGCAAGGGAUCUAUACUGUUUAACAGAAAAGAAGUUGAAGAUAUAAAGGUUGGCUCAGGUGUGGAGUUGGAGAAGAAUAGUGAAUCAAAAAUUCCUUCCACAAAACGUUCUGAAUCUGCGUAAACUAAGGAUUUAUUUAUCUAUGCCCUGUGUACUUGUAAUCUGGUGUUACAUAAGCAUGUUUCUGUUUCAUCACCCUUGAUUUACAUAGCUGAUGCUGGGUAUGUUCAGAACUUCAGAUACAAGCCUCGAGUUCACAAGUCAUCAUUGAGCCCAUCUAAGCCACUCGUUUGAUGAUAGAAGAAAUUCCACUCCUCAUCCACUUGGUAAAUAAAGGUGUUUGUCCCACCAUGAAGUUAUGGCCGAUGGUAGCUUCUCAAAUAUUGGUGAUCUUCCCACACUGUGCAGCUGUAUCAAAAGAUUUGCUGUUGGGAACACACUUGAUGUCCGAAGAGCUGCAAUUAUUUGCUCUUUUCUGGUCUAAAUGCUUCUGACUUGUCCAUUUAUAUAUCUUUUUUGACAAGAAAUUUAUCCUUUUUUUAGAAUAAUUGGCUAUAUUAGCUUAAACUUGUAAUGGUUUCCCUUCCAUUUGUGGCUGUUUUUCAUGAAAUUUUGACAAGAACACAAUCUCCAUUUUCUUCUUCCACUGGAGGGCAAGUACUGGGUGAAGUUUGUGAGCUUCCAAAGGCAUAUGUCGUUGUCUGUCGAUAAGGACUAAGCAAUCUGUUGUGCAAUGCUUGGGCUUUUCUGUAGUAAAGAAGCGGAUCUUGGCUUUUCA